AAGAUCAUACUUCAAGGGAUCUAUUGAAGUACGUUUCUUCGGCUUCAUGAACAACAUGAAGUUGACUGGAUCCACGAUGACGAGGUAUUGGGCAUCUUCCUGAGCGCGAAACCGAAGCUUGGCUUUUCCAUUUAUUGGAUUACGCCUAAUGCUUCAUUGAUGACCGUUUUUAUGGUUCGUUAUUUGAAUCAUAAAAGGGAAGAUGCUCGUUCCGAGUGGU